AUUUCAGUCACUCAGUAAAGCGAUAAUUCGAAAUAUUAUCGUCAACAGCCACUGUGUCUUUAGACUGUCUUCGUCAGGCGAGAGACGCAGUUCCAACCCCGAUUACUGGUUUCUGUACGUAUCUAUCCACUUCAAGGCUCUUGGGAGAGAAUCGUGAAUAUUCAAGACAGCUCUUAGAGGAUUUGCAGUUUAAAAGUGCCAUAAUUAUGAAAUAAGUGUGCAUAAUGAGUGAUUGAACUGUGUUUAAUUUGAAGUUCUUAUGCGAUUUUAAAGGAAUGAUAAAUGUUAAAUACAGUGAGUGAAUAAAUAAAAUAUUUUCCACGUGUUA